AUCACAUGAACAUUGUCUAUAUAUGAUUGAACUAAACAAAGCCGGCUCUGAUACCACUGUAGGGUUUUAGGGAGAACAUGCACAGUGAAAGCAUAAUGGAUUUCAAAAAUUUAAACUAAAAAAUUUUAAAUAUUAAACCCUUAAAUCAACAACUCCUUAAUGAUUAACAAUCAUAUAAAAUAUUUUUAUAACAAAAUUUAAGGUAUAGAAGAAUAUGUGCAAUGCUUAUUCCAAACUCCGGC
rnacentral:lncRNA from 1 species